rnacentral:ncRNA from 1 species
GCGGGGAAAGAAGACCCUGUUGAGCUUGACUCUAGCUAGGCAUUGUGAAGUGUCAUAUGAGGUGUAGCAUAGGUGGGAGUUAUUUUAUAACGAUCUUGAAAUACCACUACUUAUAUUGAUAUUUUACUUAGUUGAUUAAAUGGAAAUUUUAUAUAUUAAUUUAUAUAAUAAUUUUUGUAUUAAAUUAAUAUCUUUGAGAUAUUUAAUAAUCCACGUCAAAAAGCAACGUCGAUAUGGACUCUUGGCUGCCACAAGCCAGUUAUCCCUGUGGUAACUUUUCUGGCACCUCUUUUUAGAAACAUACUAAUACAAAAGGAUCGAUAGGCCACCCUUUCAGGGUCUGUAUUCGUACUGAAAAUCAUGAUCAAGCAAACUUUUGCCCUUUUACUCUAC